UUGCUCGCAUGUCUAGCAUGCGAGUCAUUGUAGCAUACAAGGCAUACGGCUCAGUAACGCGUAGUCAACCUAACCUAUGGACGGGAAUAACCUCGGGAAACUGAGAAUAAUGCCCGAUAGAACACUAUACCUGGAAUGGUUUGUGUUCCAAAUGAUUUAUCGCCAUAGGAUGGGACUGCGGCCUAUCAGUUUGUUGGUGAGGUAAUGGCCCACCAAGACUAUUACAGGUACGGGCUCUGAGAGGAGUAGCCCGGAGAUGGGUACUGAGACACGGACCCAGGCCCUAUGGGGCGCAGCAGGCGAGAAAACUUUGCAAUGUGCGAAAGCACGACAAGGUUAAUCCGAGUGAUUUGUGCUAAACGAAUCUUUUGUUAGUCCUAGAAACACUAACGAAUAAGGGGUGGGCAAGUUCUGGUGUCAGCCGCCGCGGUAAAACCAGCACCUCAAGUGGUCAGGAUGAUUAUUGGGCCUAAAGCAUCCGUAGCCGGCUCUGUAAGUUUUCGGUUAAAUCUGUACGCUUAACGUACAGGCUGCCGGGAAUACUGCAGAGCUAGGGAGUGGGAGAGGUAGACGGUACUCGGUAGGAAGUGGUAAAAUGCUUUGAUCUAUCGAUGACCACCUGUGGCGAAAGCGGUCUACCAGAACACGUCCGACGGUGAGGGAUGAAAGCUGGGGGAGCAAACCGGGAUUAGAUACCCCGGGUAGUCCAGCUGUAACUAUGCAACUCACUGAUGCAUACGUGUGUCAUGCAUGCCGCCAGGUAGU
rnacentral:rRNA from 1 species